GUGUCAGUGGGGCAGAGCGGAAAGGUGCAGGGCUUGUAACCGAAAGGUUGCAGGUUCAAUUCCCUGCUGGGGCA